rnacentral:tRNA from 1 species
GCCGGAAUAGCUCAGUGGGGAGAGCGUUAGACUGAAGAUCUAAAGGCCCCGGUUCAAUCCCGGGUUCCGGCA